UACAGAGGCCUCGAGCGUUUAGGCGGAAUCACUGGGCUUAAAGCGUGUGUAGGCGGACUUCUAAGUACCUUGUGAAAUCCCACGGCUCACCCGUGGAACUGCUCGGUAUACUGGUCGUCUUGAGCCUUCUAGGGGCGAGUGGAACAAAUGGUGGAGCGGUGAAAUGCGUAGAUAUCAUUUGGAACGCCAAUGGUGAAAACAACUCGCUGGGGAAGUGCUGACGCUGAGACACGAAAGCCAGGGGAGCGAACGGG
rnacentral:rRNA from 1 species